rnacentral:tRNA from 1 species
CGCGGGAUGGAGCAGUUGGUAGCUCAUCAGGCUCAUAAUCUGAAGGUCGCAGGUUCGAAUCCUGCUCCCGCAA